rnacentral:lncRNA from 1 species
UUUUUUUUUUUUUUUUUUUUUGUGUUUAAGCACUCCAAUAACGGUUGUGCUUGAGAGAGUCAACUGCUGGGUAAGGAAUGCUAGUUUAAGAUGAAUGUCGUUCGGUUUGGACAUUCUGUCUGAGAGUAUAUGCAAUGAUGCCAGUAUCUUUGCAAUCUUAAAUCCGUUGCGAAGUAUUGGUGGACAUGUUGAUCAUUUGAGACUGAUUUGUUAAAACCGAAGUGCUUAAAGAUGUGAAGGCAUGUGAUGUUUCUCAUGAAGAAAGUUGAGUCGAUCUAUUUACAUUUAAGAAUACCUAGCAUAAUAGUUAAGAUUUUCAUGGAGGUUGAAGGACAGACACUGGUGGCAUUUGUCAUUCUUCUUAUUAUUAGCUGUUUGUAUAUCUUUUUGGAUGCUACUGAAGUUAGCUGUUGCUUUCAGGAGAAUACGGGCAACGUAGGUCUUACAAGUUGUAACUUGUUGAGAACUGAGCAAUGUUACCAUGUUUGGAAUAAAAUAUAUGCCAAGGGGCUGAAUUUCACCUUCUUGUUCUCUUGAAUACAGAAACCAGGAAAGUAAGCUGAACCAGUUAGCUGCUGUGCAGAUUCUGUCAUUGUCAGAUGGUUACCAUGUGGAAGUGCUUACCUAAUAAGAGAAACUGAGAAAAAAAAGAUGAAUUAUAAUGAGACAUUAACUGCACGACCAUCAUUUAUGCUUUUAUCACUCGUGUAUUCUGUUUUGCUUACCUUUUUUUUUUUUUUAAUUACAACAGUCUCUGAAAUGCUGAAUUCACAGGUUGGGGUGACUCCAGAAGGAGUUGAAGUACCUCGUAGUCUAGUUGAUGAGGAGAUGCAAGAGAAGUUAAGGGCAAUGGCUAAAGAGUUUCAACCAGCCACUCCUACUGGGCCAGACCCUAAGUGGCGUUACAUGUGGAGGGUUGGUCCCCGGCCACCAAACACACGCUUUAAGGUAUUGGUGGUACCUUUUUUUUGACAAUUUUAACAUGAUUAGUCUUCUUUUCAUGACUAGCAGUCCCUUCUUCUAGGAGCUAAAUUCGGAGCCUGUCAUACCUGAAGGAUUCCCUGAAUGGAAAGCCACUAUGGAUUCAUGGGGGUAUAAAAUGAUAUCCGCGAUUGAGGUAGGUCAUCAAGAUUGCUGCUCUUCUCUCUAAUUUAUGUAUGCUGAAAUACAAUGCAUGCAAUUUAUCUUUCAGGCUGUGGCUGAAAUGGCAGCAAUUGGAUUUGGCUUGCAGAAAGAUGCUUUUACUUCUCUCAUGAAGCAGGUAAUAGUUAUUCUUGUCAUUCCAGCUACCCCAACAUAUGGCUAUGCACAUGCUAAAUCGGAGAUAGCAUGAAGACAAAGAUAAGUGAUGAGUAAAUUCUUUUCCUACAGAAAAUUUAUGUGAUACAUAUUGCAGACGAAGUGGACUGCUUAGCCCUCUAUGGUUGUGUGAGGAUGCCAUGUGAAAUUAGAUUUUCAUCAUACAUUGCCUUUGACUUUAAGGCAUGAAUCGAUGCUUCAUGACUAAUACUAUGUUUAUGAUUAUAUGGUUUAUGGGUUUCAGUCCUUGGUUGCACUAUCAUAAAAGGUUGUUCUAUAAGGGUGAUGUAGCAUGUCUUUUUGCAAAAUAAGGAAUGCAUGUUAAUAUCCAUCUCUCUUUGACCUUUGCCUGAAUUACUGUGAUGCAGAGAAUGACAUUGCAUCCUGCCAAGAGAUCCUCAGUAUUUUCUUAGUUCUGAGUCUCCAUCCAGGUGUUUAAUUGUCUGAAGUUGAAAUUGGAAUGUAUUUUUUGCUUCAUUUGACAGAAUAGAAACCAACUAUUUGAGAAAUGCAGUUGUGGUCCCUAAAUCAUUGAUGAGUUUUUUUGGGUUCUUGACUUUAUUAAAUUGGAUGAUUAGCCAAGUAGGCCUUGGUCUAGUGGCUAAGGUUGAGACCUCAGGACUUAGAAGUCCUGCAUUCUAUUCCCCCUUCCCCCUCCCUGCUUCUUAAAUCCCACCCUCCCCUGCUAGAAAAAAAAAAAAUUGGAUGAGUAUAAUGCCAAUGUGUUCAAAUUUGUCAAUUUGGUCUGUCCCAAUUUUGGAGCCCGUUUUGCAUGAGGGUUUUGACCCUAUCAUCCCUAAUCAUUUUCGUUUUCCUUCAAAGUUGUACUUUUAGGGACCAUUUUAAUACAGGGGCCAAUCUCUGUUCUCUUUACCUUAAUUUAAUUCCUUUUUUCUCUUGAAUUAUUUCGGUGUUGAUUUCCAACAGGGUUAUUUGUGUUUUCAAAUUCCAGGGACCACAUCUACUUGCACCAACAGGAAGUGAUCUUCGGCGUCAUGGCCAAGAGGGCACUGUCUUUGCAGGAUACCACUACGACCUCAACUUCCUUACAAUUCAUGGCAGAAGCAGAUUCCCUGGUCUAAAUAUUUGGCUGAGAAAUGGCCAAAAAAUGGGAGUGAAGGUUCCUGUAGGAUGCCUUCUCAUUCAGACGGGAAAACAGGUAAGAGUAUGCUAUUUCACUGUGCACUUGGCAAGAUCAGCUCAUCAAUUUGCUUGAACCUGCUGGUGUUAGACAUGACUAGCUUGACACAAAUAGAGCAAGCAGCUGCUCAGUUUUGGUUUCUUAAGCAAGAACUAUUAACCAUUCUAGCCAUUGGCCUCAAAAGGAUUUCAGAAUAAAUAGUGGAUAGAGUACAUUUGAUGACAAAUAACAUCAAAGAAAUGGACACUUGCAUGAAUAAACAAUUGACGAAGAAUGCAUUCCAUUGCUAUGGAAUUUAUCUGUUUUGUAUUUGGUUACUGGUAAGUGUGAAUCUUUAGUUUCAGAAUCUUUAUCUGCAUUUUCUUUACAUGAAAUAUAGGUUUGUGCUAAUGGCUGGUGACACGUGCUUUUGAUUUACUGAACAUGCAGAUAGAGUGGUUGACUGCAGGAGACUGUAUAGCUGGCAUGCAUGAAGUUGUUGUAAAUAGUAGGACAACUGAUGCAAUAAAAGUAGCUAUAAAGCAAAAUUGUAGCCUCUGGAGAGUUUCAUCCACGGUAAUCUUAGUUGCUAUUUUUUUUUUCUUUCUUUCCCUUCUUCCUAAUAUCUCAUUUUAGUAAAAAUUGCUGAAUGCUUGAUUUAAAUUAUAAAGCUUAGCUAACUCUGAAUCUUUUUUUACCUUUCAUCAGCUAUUUGCACAUAUCGCGUCAGAUGCAGUGUUGAAACCUCUAGGCCACUUUGCUGACUCUCCUCAUGGUGGCAUUUAUCCACCCAUAUGCGCUGGGGAAUUUGUAGAAAAAGAACUUGCGGUAAUCAACCUUAAAGGAAGGAAAGGAGAGCCUUGAGAACUCCUGGUUGGGGGUUGUUGUGUUGGUUUUCCUUGCCGCGUUCCAUUUGCCUUCCGAGAUUGAGGUAAUAAUGGGAUGAAUUAACUCUGAACACCUCAAUUGAUUAGGGUUUGGAUCAGGAACUCUGAGACUUGAAUGGUCAUAACCGUUGCUAUUCAAUUGUUUAUUGAUGUUUGUCCAUUUGAGUUAGAGAAUCAAAAGUUCUCUGGCGUUAUUUAAUAAUCCGUCGACAUGAGAUCAGGUCUAUGGCUGCUCUCUUGCUCUGGUUGUUUCUAGGACAAAUAGGCAAACUUUGAGCAUUGCCCCUUGUAUUACUAAUCAGUAUAUUUACUGCUGCACGUGCAUGUCUAAUUCAUGUAAUCGGUGCAAUAUCAACUGCUUAUUAGAACUCAACUUUCGGGCUUUUGAUGAAUUUUAGUCAUUUAGUGUCUUUUUCCUUUUCUACUGUUAUCUUGACAGUUGACUGUUGGCCAACUGAGUUGCUUAAAACUUCAUAUAUUUUUCACCUUUACAUUGAUGUGGAGCAAUAAUUGCAUACGUUCCUUUUGAAGCAAGGCAAUGCACUUGAUUCAGACAUAAUCUGAUAAGUAUUUUGGGGUCGGGAAGAAAACAUGAAUUAGUUAAACUGGUGGAGGUGUCACACCUGAACUAAAGUUCAGAACUGAAGAUGCACCCUCACCCAGCCUACAUCGUGGAAAUCUCCUUUAUUUUCAGUUUCUUGAAGGGUACUUUAUUUAUAUUUUAAUACUGGGAAGGAAUGAUUUUGGAAUCUGAUUUCUAAUGAUCAAGAUUUGUACGAGGAUCUCUUUAAGCUCAGUCUAGAUAUUAUGUUUAGUGGCAUAAACAUUAAGUUUAGUGAAAAAAGCCAAGAACAAGGCCCUAAACUUUCAUCGCCUUAGACAUUUCCUUCUACCUCAAAGCGCUUAGAACAAGGCCAUGGACAUAGCUAAAUGGCUACAAAUUAGUUUUCUGAUAGCGGAUGCUGAAGAGGAGAGUCGAUACCAAUUAGAGGCCAAGAAAAUGGCCUGAUAAAAUAGUUUGUCCUGACCAGAGCUCCUCCUUACCUUUGGUUGUUUGUCGAUUUUUAUGUCCAAUGAGUUAUAAAAAAAAAAAAGAUUUAGAGUUAGCUAAACUUUUAUGUCGAUUUCUGAUAGUGGAUGUUUUUCUGUAUUAAUACUAGAAGACUUCAGGCCCACUUAAAAUAUCAAGAACAAUUAAGUGGAAAUCAUUCUUUCGCAUAAAAUCAAUAGAAGACAAAAGUAGAAUACAAGCCCACUUACGUAUAUUACUAAAUACAAGAGUAAAUCUUAAUCCUAUCACUAAAUAUUAAUUAGUAAUUAGCUAAACUAACUAUAACUAUAGUUGGAGAUAAAAUUUUAAUGGAAGUUGAUACAUUGGAGUUUAGCUUAACAAUUAAGUUUGAAAUUCUUAUUUAUUUCAAUAUUGUUUAAAAACUGAGAUUAUGAGUUCCCUCUUUUUUGCAUUUCAUAUUUGUUUGAGUAAGUCGAUUAAUUUUGUUGAAAAACAUAUGGGAUAUUGUUUUGUUAUGACAAUUUUUUUUAUAGCAAAGUAAAAUAUUUUAACUCACUACUGAUUUUCCAAUCCAAUUUAUCAAACUAAGAUUUGGACGGUAAUCGGAUAUUGGACUUAAAAAAUCAAUUCCCAAAUUAUCAAAACUUUUUUAUCGAAUUUCCGACUAUCGAUCGAUGAACACCUGUAAACAUAAGGCCAGACUUGUUUGAUUUUGCAUGAAUAAAAAGCCAAAAAAAAAAAAUGUGCAAUGGCAAGAAUAACAAUGUACAAGAACUUGUCAAGUUAUUAAGAAGCCAUGCGACAAGUAAGGAGACAAAGUAUGAAAGUUGACUUCUUUCUUAUAUAAUAGGUAGAUAUAGAUGACUGGCGGCUAAAUAAGAGUAAUGAUUGACAUUACAAACCCCGGAUGCAGAAGUACCUACAACAUUGCGGAUUAAGUGCUGGUAUAAGUUUGGGACUAUAAUAAAACACAAGUGUCAAAACUUUGGGAACUGAUAGGUUUACAAGUUACAACAAUUAUUUUCCUUUGUUUGUGGAUUUAGGUUGCUGGCGUGCUGCCGAGUCGGAUUUGGAAUCCAAGAAUUUGGACUUUAAAGAAAAUUCAGUAGACUAUGAUUGCUUGAUAUUAUAUUUUUCCAGUUAAUUAAUCAAUUCAAUUACAAGAGACAGAUUAGAACUUGACUCCAUGUUUUGGGGCACAUUACGUUUUUAGACAUUGUCCUGUUGAUUUUGGCAAUUUGCUGAAGUUCCAAUGUGCAUUCAAGAAUCAUCGAGGAUAAGUUUCUUUAAUCCAUUUCAUGAAUAGGACACCAUUUUCUGAAAAAAUCCUGAGCGUUUGGAGUUGGCAGAAUUUAAUUUCAGCGUUGGAGGUAUAUUUCUUUCCCUUAUUGUCCUGCUUCGAAACCGUACCAUUCGACCCAAACAUGAGCACGUGAAAUCAAGAUUUAACGUGUUCCAUCCUCAUCUGGAAAACAAUUUCUGGGAAAUGAAUAAGAAGCACGUACUAUUUUCUCUCUCUAGAUAAUCUUGUGGUGCACCUAAACCAAUUGUCUGCACUUUCUGUGGCUUAAAAUUUUGUGCUAGUGAUUGAAAAUUUUGAUGAACUCUCUGGUAAAAUAUGGCCUUCUUCCAAAGCUGCGUUCCUACUAACCAGAGAGCAGAGCAAACCAACGCAAGCAUCCCCUGUUGCUUUUGGCUCUGCCUACCAAAACAAUAAAAGUCUUUUUGCUAUACGUGAAAAGCCCAGCAUAAAAAGUGAGUUUUUUUUUUUUUUGGGCAGAUAACAUGUGGGUUCUAUAUCAGUUUUGUCGAAAAUAAGGCAGAAGUAUAAAUCUUUUGCCUGAAAGUUAGCACAAUUCAGAGUAGGUGGUAACGUUAAAGUUCUUCUAAUGCGCUCGUCACCAUUCUUUCUUUUGGUGUUUUACACGGUGCCAACACAUGAUAGAAAUCCCCUUUGAAUAUGCCAACACAUUAUUUUCUUGUGAAACAGAUGGCUUUUACCCUAAGGAAUUGCUUUUAGACAAGUACAAAACAUUUUGCGUGAAAGCUAUAGUUUGAAGAAAGUAAAGAAGUUUCUGUGGAUUAAGGUUGAACUGAGAUACAUAUAGCUUGUCAUUUGCGUGUUUGAACUGAUUAACAUAUUUCUACCAAAUUGCCUAUCCAUCUUUCCUAUGAAUUGCCCAUUCUUAAAGCAAAGCAAAGCCAGAAGCAAAUUUCUUCAAUCAGCAAUGGCAGAAGAUGAUAUUGAAAAGCUUCUCUACUUUAAAACAGUGGUCAAGGAGAUCCUGAGAUUGUAUCCACCAUAUCCACUUCUAGUGCCAAGACAAACAAUUGGGAAAUGCUACAUACGUGAACAUGAGAUUCAACCAGAAACGCUGGUAUUCGUCAAUGCAUGGGAUCCUGAACAUUGGAAAAAUCCAAUUGAAUUCUGGCCUGAGAGGUUCCUCGAUAGUGCUAUUGAUUACAGGGGAUUGGAUUUUGAGUUCAUCCCAUUUGGUGCUGGAAGGAGCGGAUGUCCUGGAAUUUUAAUGGGAAUCAUUUGAUUGGGAACUACCUUUUGGGAUUAAGAAGGAAGGUACUGACACGGAUGCAUUUCCUGGAUGGACCUUAAAGCCCAAAUAUGACCUUUGUCUGCUAGCUAAAUCUCAUGUGUUAAGUGUAACUCCAACUGCAAUAUAUAUCUUAAACGGCAACAUUUUUUGAGUAUGUUUGGAUAGGAGAUUAUUUGGAAUAUUAUUUGGAAUAAUUACUGUAGCACUUUUUGUGAUGUGAUGUAUGUGAGAUAAAAAAUUAAUUGGGAAGAUAAAAAGGUGUGUUAGAAAUUGUAUUUGUGAUGUAAGCAAAUAAUUUUUGGCCAUUAUUUGGCUAUCCAAAAGCUUUGCAAUUCAUACGAUGUAUAAAGGGAUAAUUUUAGAAAGGGAUAAUUUCAGAAACCUCCCCUGAGGUUUCUGACAUUUACACUCACCUCCCCUGUGGUUUGAACAAUUACACUAACCUCCCCUGAGGUUACUAAUCCUUUACAAAUUUAGUCCAAAUGAUUAAAAUAUUAUUUUAGAGAGUGAAAUUAGAAUUUUGUACCUGAUUUGCCCUUUGUGCUACAUGUCCAAUGAAUGACAAAGUAUUACAAAUUAAUUAAUAAUUAAUAAAUUUUAAGGAGCGUAGUUUAUAGGCAAAUACGUAUUAUUUAUUUAAAAUACGAGUUUUUUACGGGUAUUUUACUUUCAAACAUUUACUUUAUUACAAAUAUUUAUUCUCAAAUAUAGAUUUGUAUUUACUCUCAAAUAUUUAAUUUUUGUUAAAUAAAAAACCUACCAGUUUUUCUUUCGUAGAAAUAUUAAUAUAACACUUUUUCAAUUUUAGUUAUAAAUAUUUAUGUAUUUAGCUUAAAUUAAAUGAUUCAGGAUAAAAUAUUCAUAAAGAGCUAAUACUUUACUCAUAUAAUGGAUGAAAAUCAUAAAAAAUUAAUACUUUAUGGGACAUUUCUUUUUUUAAAAAAUAUUUAAUUUAUAUUAAAUAGAUAACCUACUGAUUUUCUUUUUGCGAGAAUAUUAGUGAGAAUAUUAGUGUAACACUUUUUAAUUUUUAAUCACAAACGUUAAUAUAUUUAUCAUAAAUUAAAUAUUUAAAAAUAAAAUAUCUGUAAAUGGAGGGUACUUUAAAGUAAUAUUUGUAAUAAAGUAAAUGUUUGAAAGUAAAAUACCUGUAAAGAGUUGGUACUUUAAAUAAAUAAUACGUAUUUGCUUAUAAACUACGCUCCUUAAAGUUUAUUAAUUAUUAAUUAAUUUGUAAUACUUUGUCAUUCAUUGGACACAUAGUACAAAGGGCAAAUCAGGUACAAAAUUCUAAUUUCACUCUCUAAAACAAUAUUUUAAUCAUUUGGACUGAAUUUGUAAAGGAUUAGUAACCUCAGGGGAGGUUAGUGUAAUUGUUCAAACCACAGGGGAGGUGAGUGUAAAUGUCAGAAACCUCCUGAGGUUUCUGAAAUUAUCCUUUUUAGAAACCUCCCCUGAGGUUUCUGACAAUUUCAUUGAGCUCCUCUGGGGUUUGAAAAAUUACACGUACUUCCCUUGUCAGUUAAAAUGACAAUACUACUCUUAAAUAUUUUAAUGAAAUUCCCUUGUUUGGUAUGCUUAUACUUAGAAUGACUUUUAAAAUUAUUUUUUCAUUCUUUUUCCUUCUUAUUCCUUUUUACUUUAAUUUUUUUGCCAAUAAAAUUGUAGAAUUAUUACUAUUAUCUCUAAUUUCUAUUAUAACCAAAUGUUGAUAAGUUAACUUUAUACAUAAUCCAAUGUUUUUGCUAAUCUUUGUUUUCUAUUUUUUGGUAUUAAAAUUAACAAUAAAUACAAAAGAAAUUGCCCAAAACCACUAUUAAAUUAUGAUAAUCCCAUUGCUCGAAUAAUUCAUAAACUCUGAAUCAAUUAUUUCAACGUUUUAUUUUCUAUUUUAUAAAUCUAAAUCCAUAAUAAAAUCUAUCAAAAGUAUUGUACCAUAGUGAUAAAAUUAUUAUUAUAAUUGUUUAUCAAAUAAUAGGUAUGGAUAUGAAAAAUUCGACACCUUUUCCUUAUAAUUACAUUAGAUAAUCUUAUAAUUCUAUAGGGAAGUAAAUUAAAACUCAUUACACAAGGGUAUUUUUGGAUAUUUAUUUAAAAAUUUGACCAAGUCAAUAUUAUUUUAAGAUUUUGUUAUUAAAACUAUCAAAUUAAGGAAGGUAUGUGUAAUUUUUUAAAUUUUAAGGGCGUUUAGUGAAAUUGUUAGAAACCUCAAGGGUGGUUUCUGAAAUUAUCCCAUAUAUAAAUGGAGAUUGUUGGAGAAAUUUUAGAGCUUUGAAUUGUACGAGAUGAAAUAGCAUGGCUUCAAAACUCGAACACAUUUGGAUUAUUUUCAGUUCGUACGUUUUAAGAUAGCUAAGUAGUCACCAUGGUUUUAACAACUAAUUAUUCAGAACUAGGCUUGGUGCCCCGCGGAUUCCGCGGGGUGUCCAUUAUUGAAUAUAUUAGGGUAAUGAAAAAUUUAUUUAAUAGCAUAGAUUUAUUGUAUUUUGUAUGAUAAUGGAGCUGAAAUAGUGGAUAGAGCAUUGAUAUAUUGGAUUCAUUUAUUUAUAAAUAAAUAUAGUAAAAUUUAUUUGAUUUGUAUUGUGUUUUUUAAAAUUAAUAUGAUCUAGGGAUUUAAUGGAUAAUAUUGAAAAAAUUUUGUUUUUGUAUUUUAAUUGUGGGGUGAGUAAAUAUUAUUUAAAUUAAUGGAAUAUAUAUUAAUUUUUUAAAGUUUAUAGCAUGGAAAAUUAGGUGAAGAAUUACAUUGACAGUGUUAUAAUUUAUUUUGUUUUGGGCAUUGGCAGUUUAUGUAUUUUAGACGAUGAUUUUUUAUAAUUUGGAUAGCUAGGAUGAGAAAGUGUGUAUUGUUGUAGUGGAAAAGUCUAUGGAAAUUAUAUAAAAGAAUUGAAAAUUUGCUGAGAAAUAAAUGCAUAAUAGAUAUUUUUUGGCAAAUUUUGAUAUAGUUUGGGUGUUGUAUGAUGACAUAAAUUAAUAAUUUGGAAAUAAUUUGAUAUUGCACGUUGGUAAAAUAUGUGUUUAUUAAUUAAGUAGGUUUUUUUGGAUAAGUAAAGAUAAUGUUUAUUUAGUUAUGAAUGAAUGUGAUCGAAAUAGAUAGAAGUUGUAUUUUUUUAAUUAAUAGAAUCUGAAUAAA